rnacentral:pre_miRNA from 1 species
ACAACAUUCGGACCGUCGGUCUACCGAGCAAUAUCACCCGCUCGGUGGAAGAUCUCCCCUUUGUGGU